rnacentral:tRNA from 1 species
GAGGACUUAGCUUAAUUAAAGUGUCUGAUUUGCAUUCAGUCGAUGCAAGAUGGAAGCUUGCAGUCUUUA